CCUACGGGGGGCUGCAGUGGGGAAUUUUGGACAAUGGGGGAAACCCUGAUCCAGCCAUGCCGCGUGCGGGAAGAAGGCCUUCGGGUUGUAAACCGCUUUCAGCCGGAAAGAAAUCGCACGGACCAAUACUCUGUGUGGAUGACGGUACCGGAAGAAGAAGCACCGGCUAACUACGUGCCAGCAGCCGCGGUAAUACGUAGGGUGCGAGUGGGAAUCGGAAGUGCUGGGCGUGUAGCGUGCGCAGGACGUGAAAUCCCCGGGCUUAACCUGGGAACUGCGUUUGGAACUGGGAGACUAGAGUGUGUCAGAGGGAGGUGGAAUUCCGCGUGUAGCAGUGAAAUGCGUAGAUAUGCGGAGGAACACCGAUGGCGAAGGCAGCCUCCUGGGAUAACACUGACGCUCAUGCACGAAAGCGUGGGGAGCAAACAGGAUUAGAUACCCGUGUAGUC
rnacentral:rRNA from 1 species